UACGAACUGCGCGAACGUUAUUCGGAAUCACUGGGCUUACAGGGUGCGUAGGCGGCUUUUCAGGUCCGAUGUGAAAUCCCCCAGCUCAACUGGGGAAUGGCAUUGGAAACCGGGAAGCUCGAGUGAGCUAGAGAUGCACGGAACUUCCGGUGGAGCGGUGAAAUGUGUUGAGAUCGGAAGGAACACCAGAGGCGAAGGCGGUGCAUUGGGGCUUGUCUGACGCUGAGGCACGAAAGCCAGGGGAGCGAACGGG
rnacentral:rRNA from 1 species